rnacentral:rRNA from 1 species
GGGUUGUGAGGUUAAGCGAACAAGCGUACACGGUGGAUGCCCUGGCAGUCAGAGGCGAUGAAGGACGUGCUAAUCUGCGAUAAGCGCCGGUAAGGUGAUAUGAACCGUUAUAACCGGCGAUUUCCGAAUGGGGAAACCCAGUGUGACUCGUCACACUAUCAUUAACUGAAUCCAUAGGUUAAUGAGGCGAACCGGGGGAACUGAAACAUCUAAGUACCCCGAGGAAAAGAAAUCAACCGAGAUUCCCCCAGUAGCGGCGAGCGAACGGGGAGGAGCCCAGAGCCUGAAUCAGCAUGUGUGUUAGUGGAAGCGUCUGGAAAGGCGCGCGAUACAGGGUGACAGCCCCGUACACAAAAGCGCAUGUGCUGUGAGCUCGAUGAGUAGGGCGGGACACGUGGUAUCCUGUCUGAAUAUGGGGGGACCAUCCUCCAAGGCUAAAUACUCCUGACUGACCGAUAGUGAACCAGUACCGUGAGGGAAAGGCGAAAAGAACCCCGGCGAGGGGAGUGAAAAAGAACCUGAAACCGUGUACGUACAAGCAGUGGGAGCACAGGUUUACCUGUGUGACUGCGUACCUUUUGUAUAAUGGGUCAGCGACUUAUAUUCUGUAGCAAGGUUAACCG